rnacentral:rRNA from 1 species
GACGAACGCUGGCGGCGUGCUUAACACAUGCGAGUCGAACGGAAAGGCCCUGCUUUUGUGGGGUGCUCGAGUGGCGAACGGGUGAGUAACACGUGAGUAACCUGCCCUUGACUUUGGGAUAAUUUCAGGAAACUGGGGCUAAUACCGGAUAGGAGCUCCUGCUGCAUGGUGGGGGUUGGAAAGUUUCGGCGGUUGGGGAUGGACUCGCGGCUUAUCAGCUUGUUGGUGGGGUAGUGGCUUACCAAGGCUUUGACGGGUAGCCGGCCUGAGAGGGUGACCGGCCACAUUGGGACUGAGAUACGGCCCAGACUCCUACGGGAGGCAGCAGUGGGGAAUAUUGCACAAUGGGCGGAAGCCUGAUGCAGCAACGCCGCGUGCGGGAUGACGGCCUUCGGGUUGUAAACCGCUUUCGCCUGUGACGAAGCGUGAGUGACGGUAAUGGGUAAAGAAGCACCGGCUAACUACGUG